ACUCAGAGCUCCUGCUGAAGGACUGGGACUUGGCCCUCCAGCAGCGGGGGGAGCUGUGGAGGGCCCGAGCCUGGGAGCAGCACCACCCGGAUGCCGCUCUUUAGGCCUGGGGACUGGCUGGGGAGGGCGAGGGGCAGGGAGGAGGCACAGCGGCGGCCGUUUGCAGAUUUGAUGCACACUGAGUCCAGGAGCCCAGGAGACCCGCAGGCUUGCGAGGGGGGCCCGGUCAUAAGGAGGGCGCCUCUCACUACAGAGUGCUCUCCGCAUCCGGGCAGAGAGUGCCAAGACCGCCAAGACCACCAAGACCACCAAGACCACCAAGGUCACCAAGGUCACCAAGACCACCAAGACCCAGUAGCAGGAAUUUAUGUUCUGGAUCCAAGGAGGUCAGAGAACCGGGGGCUGGAGAAGGAGAUCUGAGAGCCAGUGGUUCCCAGCUGGAAGGAGAGGAGCAGCCGCAGACCUCAGAGGCCAUGGAUGGAAACCUCGGGCUUCCGCAUCAAGGGACAGGGAUAAGGAAAGAGGAAAUGGAGCAGGAGAAGGAGAGGUCAGCGAGCCGGGAGGUUCACCGGAGGGCCACGCGGGAUGGUCCCAGACCAAUGUCUCGGGCAGGAAGGGGCCAGAGGCAGCCCUGGAUUUGGUGUUGAGGCCACUGCUCUUGGUGGCAGCCAUCGAUCACCGUGUCACGAUGGGGAUUAAGCCCCCACCUGCCAAGAGUCAAGAGGAGCGCGGGAGGUGCGGCAGGAACCAGCAAGCUGCCCAAAUAGGUGGAAACAACCACAGUUAAAACCAAAAGCUGCACGGCGACCCCUACCUGGACCUCCAGCCUGUAGGCCUGCCCUGCAGUUCAGGCUUGGCAAGCCCUGUGGCCACGAUGAAGCCAACUGCUUAAAUACAUGUCUCGGCCAGAACUUUCUCAGGUCCCGGGAAGCAGUGUGUGCAAAGAACACAGGACUAGCCACCAAGGAUCUGGGUUUUCACCCUGUCCCACUCCCUCCCUGGGUUCAGGCAAGCUCCUUAAGUGGCCUGAGCCUCCAGCAAUGCCAAGAGCAGGGUGGGCUCACAUGAUGUCUGAGGGAGCUCAGGGUCCGAGGUUCUGCUCAGUGCGUGGUCGGAAACUGGUUUUUAGGUGGAUUCACGUUAAUACGACUCAUGGAAAAUAAAUUGUCGAUUAAUAAA